CUUCCUGACUCUUGAGUCUGCAGCUCUCCCACCAGUGAAGCCAAAACAAUUCCCUCAGUAUUGCACUUCAAUAGGAAAUCACAAAUGUACUUAAUGUUUUUAUUGUUGUUUAGAAUUGCAUAUUAUUUUUUUCCAGAGAAUGCAUUCUCUGAUUGUGUUUUAGUGUUCAGAUGCUGAGUUGGUGAACUCCUUUUGUCUCAAAAAACUUUUACACAAAGGCCAUGGCAAUGUGAAGUCACCUCUAUGAAACUUGGAAUGUCUCAUAUAGCAAGGAAAGACUUGCUUGUCCAAGGAAAUAACAGGCACCUUCAAAAGCGAAGAACUACAUUAAAUUACUUGGGCACAGUGAUUGGCUCAAUUAAUCACCUUAAAUCUGCAGGAACGCCUGGUAUGCAGUUUACAUCCUGCAAGAAGCAAACUUCCUCUAGGAACUGAGUAGAGAAGGUGACUAAAUCUGCAUGGACUUAACAAUAGACUUUGCAAGUGUGAGCUCUUUAGCCUAGCCCACAAAAUACAUCUGCACACACAGUCAGAAUGUCAGAGUAACAAAGCUUUCAGGUGUUCACAGAAGCUUUGAUCCUAAAAUAACAGCAAAUGGGCAUGAUGAAAAGAAUCUAAUUAUCAUUACUGUGGAUAGAAUGAGAUUGUCUGACACUAGAAGAUGUUCCUGGACUUGAGUCAGUUGUGUGCCAGUAAGAACACAAGGAUCAGAGACAAAUAUUUUGCAAAAUGAACUAUAGGCUGGAACUUUCAUCCAAAAUCCAUAUUCAUGUCAGCUCAUUCAAAAACAUGAUGAGCAUGGCACAGAGGGCUUUGCAGGGCUUAUUGCAAAGGCUCCUACCAUGUGAAGGAGGCAGAAGAAAAUGCAGAAACAACUAUUGAAGACAAUGAGGAAACAGAACCAAAACCAUGGAUGAACUGUAGCAAACACCCUGGGGAAAAAAAAAAAAAAAUUGAAUUUGUUUGGUUGAGUACUGAUUAAAAGAGGCUUCAGCUGUUUCCAGGCUUUUUUAGGAUACAGGAUGCUAUGUCCCCCUCAGAAACAAACAAAACAAAACAUUGUUCCUCAUUAAAAUGAAAGGGUUGAUUUGCAAAAUGCAAUGUUGCUUCCUAAAUUCAAGACAGAUUAUCUGGCUUUGCAUGUAUAACGUACUCCAAAAUGCAAGGUAAUUGGCAGGUGAAAGCCCUUGGUAUCUCAGACUGAUAAGCUCUGAUAAAGAAAGUAGAUGGCUCAGACUCCCUUUCCUGACCCUCAGCACAUGAGCUGGCUUUUUUUCUUGAAAUCAGUUGUGAAACAAACUUUGUCUUCCCUGAGGCUUCAUCUUCCAGCAUGGAAGGUCCUGGGUGGAAUGAGAAAUCUUUCUCAUAUUUGUGAAACACAAAACAAAGGAAAGGGAGUGGAUCUCAAAAGAUAAUCUUGUGAGUAAUUUAACAG
rnacentral:lncRNA from 1 species